rnacentral:tmRNA from 1 species
GGGGGCGACCUGGUUUCGACGGGGGUCGCGAAGCAGCGCAGGGCAUACCGAGGGUCAGAGUACCUCGUAAAUCCAACUGAAAAUCGUU